CAGUGAAUAACUAUUUAAACAGCUGCGGUAUUUUAACUGUACUAAGGUAGCAUAAUAAUUUGCCUUAUAAAUUGAGGCUAGAAUGAAAGGUUUGACGAAGGUUUAACUGUCUCUAUUUUAUUUAUUAGAAUUUAAUUUUUAUAGUGAAAAAGCUUAAAUAAUUUAAAGGGAAGAGAAGACCCUAUUGAGCUUUAAUUUUUUAUAAUAGCUAUAAUUAUAUUAUAGUAAAUAAAUAAAUUUUAAUUGGGGUGAUUAAGGAAUAAAGAAUAAAAAUUAAGUAACUUCCUUAGUUAUAAUGACUGUUGGGUUAAGUAACCAAUAAUUAUUGCUUAUAAGUAGUUACCAUAGGGAUAACAGCGUAAUUUAUUUAGAGAGUUCUAAUUGAAAAAUAAGAUUGCGACCUCGAUGUUGGAUUAAAGUAACCUUAAGGUGCAGAAGCUUUAAUUGGUAAAUCUGUUCGAUUUUUAAAACUUUACGUGAUCUGAGUUCAGACCGGA
rnacentral:rRNA from 1 species